rnacentral:rRNA from 1 species
ACAGCAGCAGCCGCGGUAAUACAGAGGGUGCGAGCGUUAAUCGGAUUUACUGGGCGUAAAGCGUGCGUAGGCGGCUUCUUAAGUCGGAUGUGAAAUCCCUAAGCUUAACUUAGGAAUUGCAUUCGAUACUGGGAAGCUAGAGUAUGGGAGAGGAUGGUAGAAUUCCAGGUGUAGCGGUGAAAUGCGUAGAGAUCUGGAGGAAUACCGAUGGCGAAGGCAGCCAUCUGGCCUAAUACUGACGCUGAGGUACGAAAGCAUGGGGAGCAAACAGGAUUAGAUACCCGUGUAGUCCCUGUCUCUUAUAA